rnacentral:rRNA from 1 species
UUUAUGGAGAGUUUGAUCCUGGCUCAGGAUGAACGCUGGCGGCGUGCCUAAUACAUGCAAGUCGAGCGAACGGACGAGAAGCUUGCUUCUCUGAUGUUAGCGGCGGACGGGUGAGUAACACGUGGAUAACCUACCUAUAAGACUGGGAUAACUUCGGGAAACCGGAGCUAAUACCGGAUAAUAUUUUGAACCGCAUGGUUCAAAAGUGAAAGACGGUCUUGCUGUCACUUAUAGAUGGAUCCGCGCUGCAUUAGCUAGUUGGUAAGGUAACGGCUUACCAAGGCAACGAUGCAUAGCCGACCUGAGAGGGUGAUCGGCCACACUGGAACUGAGACACGGUCCAGACUCCUACGGGAGGCAGCAGUAGGGAAUCUUCCGCAAUGGGCGAAAGCCUGACGGAGCAACGCCGCGUGAGUGAUGAAGGUCUUCGGAUCGUAAAACUCUGUUAUUAGGGAAGAACAUAUGUGUAAGUAACUGUGCACAUCUUGACGGUACCUAAUCAGAAAGCCACGGCUAACUACGUGCCAGCAGCCGCGGUAAUACGUAGGUGGCAAGCGUUAUCCGGAAUUAUUGGGCGUAAAGCGCGCGUAGGCGGUUUUUUAAGUCUGAUGUGAAAGCCCACGGCUCAACCGUGGAGGGUCAUUGGAAACUGGAAAACUUGAGUGCAGAAGAGGGAAGUGGAAUUCCAUGUGUAGCGGUGAAAUGCGCAGAGAUAUGGAGGAACACCAGUGGCGAAGGCGACUUUCUGGUCUGUAACUGACGCUGAUGUGCGAAAGCGUGGGGAUCAAACAGGAUUAGAUACCCUGGUAGUCCACGCCGUAAACGAUGAGUGCUAAGUGUUAGGGGGUUUCCGCCCCUUAGUGCUGCAGCUAACGCAUUAAGCACUCCGCCUGGGGAGUACGACCGCAAGGUUGAAACUCAAAGGAAUUGACGGGGACCCGCACAAGCGGUGGAGCAUGUGGUUUAAUUCGAAGCAACGCGAAGAACCUUACCAAAUCUUGACAUCCUUUGACAACUCUAGAGAUAGAGCCUUCCCCUUCGGGGGACAAAGUGACAGGUGGUGCAUGGUUGUCGUCAGCUCGUGUCGUGAGAUGUUGGGUUAAGUCCCGCAACGAGCGCAACCCUUAAGCUUAGUUGCCAUCAUUAAGUUGGGCACUCUAAGUUGACUGCCGGUGACAAACCGGAGGAAGGUGGGGAUGACGUCAAAUCAUCAUGCCCCUUAUGAUUUGGGCUACACACGUGCUACAAUGGACAAUACAAAGGGCAGCGAAACCGCGAGGUCAAGCAAAUCCCAUAAAGUUGUUCUCAGUUCGGAUUGUAGUCUGCAACUCGACUACAUGAAGCUGGAAUCGCUAGUAAUCGUAGAUCAGCAUGCUACGGUGAAUACGUUCCCGGGUCUUGUACACACCGCCCGUCACACCACGAGAGUUUGUAACACCCGAAGCCGGUGGAGUAACCUUUUAGGAGCUAGCCGUCGAAGGUGGGACAAAUGAUUGGGGUGAAGUCGUAACAAGGUAGCCGUAUCGGAAGGUGCGGCUGGAUCACCUCCUUUCU